ACCGAUAGGUCUUUUGUUGCCUUCGGCCUUCACCUUGACUGAUCAACCAACUGCCUCCCCCGAACAUACACUCUGCCUUCGGCCUUCACCUCGACCGACCGAUCAAUCGCCUUUCCCAAACACAUAACACAAUUACCUUUUAGGAUUUUUUUUAAUUCCUUUUAAUUUUAUUUUAUUUUUUCCUUCUUCCCUCUUAAUGUGAUUCCUUUUUAUCUUUUUUUGUUUCAUCUCUUGUUUACUUUUCGUUUAAUGAUUUAUCUUUUUU
rnacentral:lncRNA from 1 species